rnacentral:rRNA from 1 species
UUGACCUCGGAUCAGGUAGGGAUACCCGCUGAACUUAAGCAUAUCAAUAAGCGGAGGAAAAGAAACCAACAGGGAUUGCCCUAGUAACGGCGAGUGAAGCGGCAACAGCUCAAAUUUGAAAUCUGGCUCUUUUAGGGUCCGAGUUGUAAUUUGCAGAGGGCGCUUUGGCGUUGGCAGCGGUCCAAGUUCCUUGGAACAGGACGUCACAGAGGGUGAGAAUCCCGUACGUGGUCGCUGGCCUUCGCCGUGUAAAGCCCCUUCGACGAGUCGAGUUGUUUGGGAAUGCAGCUCUAAAUGGGAGGUAAAUUUCUUCUAAAGCUAAAUACUGGCCAGAGACCGAUAGCGCACAAGUAGAGUGAUCGAAAGAUGAAAAGCACUUUGGAAAGAGAGUCAAAUAGCACGUGAAAUUGUUGAAAGGGAAGCGCUUGCAGCCAGACUUGCCUGUAGUUGCUCAUCUGGGCUUUUGUCCAGUGCACUCUUCUACAGGCAGGCCAGCAUCAGUUUGGGCGGUUGGAUAAAGGUCUCUGUCACGUACCUCCCUUCGGGGAGGCCUUAUAGGGGAGACGACAUGCAACCAGCCUGGAUCUGAGGUCCGCG